AUUGAACGCUGGCGGCAGGCCUAACACAUGCAAGUCGAACGAGUGGCGGACGGGUGAGUAAUGUCUGGGAAACUGCCUGAGGGAGGGGGAUAACUACUGGAAACGGUAGCUAAUACCGCAUACAAUCAGAUGUGCCCAGAUGGGAUUAGCUAGUUGGUGGGGUAACGGCUCACCAAGGCGACGAUCCCUAGCUGGUCUGAGAGGAUGACCAGCCACAUUGGAACUGAGACACGGCCCAAACUCCUACGGGAGGCAGCAGUGGGGAAUAUUGCACAAUGGGCGCAAGUCUGAUGGAGCCAUGCCGCGUGUGUGAAGAAGGUUUUCGGGUUGUAAAGUACUUUCGGUGGGGAAGCGUUAAUCGCAGAAGAAGCAACGGCUAACUACGUGCCAGCAGCCGCGGUAAUUC
rnacentral:rRNA from 1 species